rnacentral:other from 1 species
UUUCCCCUGCCCUGUUGGUGCUUGGGCGGAUAAUUUCGAGCCAACAUUGACAUUGAGGGUGACCUCAAGCUGCUUCCGGCUGGGAAGUCGGUUCGCCGAAUUCCUUAUAAGGAAGUGCAGGUAUCGCCCACCUAACUCAGUUAGGUUCGAUGUCACCGUUCGGGGACGGCAAUGGCGGGGGAUUU